UUUAAUGAUUUCUUGGUGAACAAGCCCAUGCAGAAAUGUAUACAUAAUAGCAAAGAAAUGAUCAUUUCUAAAAUGUUACCUAUUUUCACCUUCCAGGCUGCAUUGUGUGCACUUGUUAUUCUUGAAGCUCACGGUGAUGUGACAACGAUAAAUGGAAAUGCGUGCGACUAUGUUAUUUUUGACCCUGGCUAUGCCAGUUGGAGCAUCGUUCUCAGAUCAGAUGGUACAAGGGAGACGUGCUCUUAAAGCAGGGGUCACAUGGCAGCACUGGGUACGGCCAGCGGAUUCGUGUCUUUCAUAAUGGAACACUAGGGCUCCGCGUUGUUGGAAAGGAGGAUGCAGGACAGUACACGGCUAAGGUCUGCGCUAGCUCUCAGCAUUGCCUCCACCAAAGAACAUUUCAGUUACAUGUACAUGGAUACCUUGUCAGAGGGAUUGUAGGUGACUGUGUUGCUUUUCACCUGGCCUGCCUGCAGUCAGCUGGGUACAUCCAUGCCAUCUGGAAGAAAGACAGACAGCGAGUGGCGCAGAUCAGAAGGCAAUCGGUAAACGCGUCAGAGGUCUACUGCAAGAGGGCCCGUGUGUUCCACAACGCAGCCUGAGUUCUUUGCCCCGCGGAAUGGAGAGAUCAGGGAGAGUAUGUGGCAGAAGUGUACGAUCAGGAUGGCUUGCAUUUGCAUCAGAUUUUUCACCUGGAACUGAAGAAAGUGGAAACACUUCAAGAAAUCACAGAAUUUAUCGGCGGGUCACUAUUCCUGAAUCUAACAGAGAUGAUGCCGGAACACUUCUUCCAGAUAGCCUGGAAAAAGGAAAACACGGAAGUAGCUUGGACAAAUGGUUCUUGGUUUUGGUACCAUGGAGAAUACGUUAACAGGUCUGAGAUUGUGUCUAGUCACAGCCUUAGACUAGACAGGAUUGAGACAAGUGACCGUGGCAGGUAUUCUAUAGAAGUGAAAGACAGAGAUGCAGAGUUGUGUAUGAGGCAUCACUAAUGUGAAUAUUGGUGAGUAUUGCUAAAAAAUGAAAAGCUUUCUUGGGUCCAGACUAGAGACAGAAACCUGUCUGUGUAUUGGGUUAUGUAAGAGAUUGUGUACUGGAUUAUCUACUGGAUUAUGUAGGAGACGGCCCCAAAUGCACGAGCAGUCAUGUAAUUAGCAGAGAGAUGAAGCACAGACUUCCUGGGGUAAGCCUUGCUGGGUAAAGCUGGGCGUCUUUUGCCAGUGCCUACUUCACCCAGAGUGGCAGAAGGUGUCAUUUGAGUUCUACUUUGUUACUCCACUGUAUCUAGGAAAUACUAUGAGCUGUGAUAGAAGAAUGACUUUUGGGGGGCCAGUAAAUGCUGUAUCUUUAAAUGAUUGCUGUUUAGAUGUAUCAGAAGGGCUUCUGGUGAAUUUGAGUUUAUGACUGUUCCCCAACUUGAGAACAGAUUCACCGGCACAUCUGCAAGGGUUCCUGUGGUGGGGAAAGCAGGAAACUCUCAAUGCAAUGCUGCUUAUGAUGAUGGUUUUGUUCUAAACUACACAGCUUUUGUGAUGGAGAAACUGAACCAGAGGAUACAGGGAGACUCACAAGUUUAAGUGAGGUGUGUUGCGACAGCAAAUUGCCUAGCAUGUGAAAGUAGCAUACUAGCUAUUAUUACCACUACCCCUUAUCAGUUUCUCAGUUGGUGGCAUGAGACAAAGAGCAGCUGGUGGCAGGUUGGCUGAGGUCUGUCCUAAUGCCUUGGGUUAGAGGUGACACCUUGUGAAAAGCGACUGCUUGGUUGCAGAUCACUUAAGGAAAAUCAGUAGGACAACCUCUAAUUUUAGAAGGUCAGCUUUCUGAUAUUUUACUUACAGACGUAAGAAUAAUGAUUAAGAUCACAAAAGCUAAUGGUGGAGCUUCACCCUGCUGUACUGUAAGUGUUUUGACAAAUAAAUUUUCAUUGUAGAGCAAAAGGAGAUGCUUGGAAGAAAUCCUUCUCUCUAUGUUCUCAUAAUAUCAGCAGCUGUUGUAGUUACUAUUUUCUUGGUUGCACUGAUAUGGGAUUUUCAGAAGCCUGGGCACAGGACAGGUAAGAAAUCUCCUUCAACACCUAAAUAGCCUAUUUAAAUAGCAAUUGAUGCAUAGAUCCAGUUCUCUGUAUUCAGGAGAUAUCUGACUGUGGUUUUUGGUAUGAGUUUGGUCCAGAGGAGCAGGCUGCUGUCAGUGCUGGUGACAGCACGUGGCUCUGCUGUAGGGACUGACCGCCCGAGGCCUUUCCACACUGAUGGGAGGAUUUUCAGCCCUCCUUGCCAAGGUCGCGUGCUGGGAGUGUCCAGGCUGGUCCGAUGUCUGCAGGGUGGAUUUGUGGCAAGGCCUUAGGAGGUUGCGGCAGCUGCCGUUCUCCUGUUUGUGUGGUGUAUGGUCUGCUGAGAGCUGUGUUUUUAUUUAUUUAUUUUCUCCUGUGGUGGGACAUUGACUGGUAGGAUAGGGCCUUUUAUCUCUGCUUGUGGGACCUGUGCCUUGCUGAACUCCCCUGGGUUUGGUCACUUCUGGGAGCACAGAGUUGGUGAGUGCAGGCAAGGGGAGGGACCUGUGUUUCCUCCUGAGCUGGUGAGCCGGGGCUGAAACCAAGGCAACCUUCCCAAGUGCCUGGCAGUGUUGCACAGUAUGGAUGAAGCUGAUUGCUGCUCCAGAGCCCUGUUAGCUCUGAGGCCUGUGUGAGUUUUUACCUCUACCUGAAGAUCUUUUGGUUUCUUAGUUCUAAGUAGCUCACCCCCAAAUGUCGGAAAGAUGGGAUGGAGAAUCUCCUUUCCCUGCUGCAAUGCCUAAUGGUAGGAGAGGGUGGAAAAGGGUGGUCUUCUGACAAGAAGCUGUUAGUUAUUGCCCCGCGGUGCUUUGCAGUUGAAAUGCAACGUUGGUCCAGAACAUAGGUAAUGAAGACAUAAGGUAGUUUGUCCUGUCCGGUAAGAAGGAGUAGGUAGUUACUUGAAAGGCUUAAAAGCUGAACAGAGGGGGAGGACUUCACAGAAUCAUAACAUGGCUUGCGUUGGAAGGGACCUUAAGGAUCAUCCAG